CCGGGACACUCAAAUUAGUUAGAUAUGUUAUGUUUGGUAUGCCUGGAACAAUGAUUCGAAUGAGGGAAUCACUGGCACGGGCGAUCAAAUAUAGACAGGAGAAUGACGAGGCAGUUGGAG